GUGGGUUUAGCUCAGCAGUAGAGCACAUGCUUAGUAUGCAUGAAGUCCUGAGUUCAAUCCCCAGUACCUCCA
rnacentral:tRNA from 1 species